rnacentral:rRNA from 1 species
AGAGAGAGACAUGCGCGCAUAUCAAUAAGCGGAGGAAAAGAAACUAACAAGGAUUCCCCUAGUAACGGCGAGUGAAGCGGGAAGAGCUCAAAUUUGAAAUCUUAAAGGGUUUCCCUUUACGAAUUGUAGUUUAAAGAAGUGUUUUCUGUUGAGGUUUUGGUAGAAGUUCUUUGGAAUAGGACAUCAUAGAGGGUGAGAAUCCCGUAUUUGACCUUUACUUUCAACUUUGUGAUACACUUUCAAAGAGUCGGAUUGUUUGGGAAUGCAGUCCUAAAAUGGGUGGUAAAUUUCAUCUAAAGCUAAAUAUUGGCGAGAGACCGAUAGCGAACAAGUACCGUGAGGGAAAGAUGAAAAGAACUUUGAAAAGAGAGUUAAACAGUACGUGAAAUUGUCAAAAGGGAAGCGUUUGACACCAGUGUUGUUUUUCUGAAAAUCAAUUAAAGAACUGUUUAUGCUAAGCUGUUUAGACUUUAUCAGCUAAUCUGUUUAGUUUUGAGCUUUUCUUUAAUGCACUUUUCAGUUAACAAGUCAACAUCAAUUUCUUUUGCUGUAAAAAAGCUUGAGGAAGGUGGCUUGAGAUUCGUCUUAAGUGUUUAUAGCCUCUUGCCUAUGCAGUCGGAGAGAUUGAGGUCUGCAGCGUAGAUCCUUCGGGGCUAAAUGCAUUUGUGCUAAGUUAUAGCAUUUUAUAGACAACUUGUUGACUAUGAUUUGUCUUGUAGCUUACUCGCUUAUGUUAUUUUACCUACGCUUAGGAUGUUGACGCAUGAGAUAUACGC